UACAGAGGUCUCGAGCGUUAGUCGGAAUCACUGGGCUUAAAGCGUACGUAGGCGGACAUGCAGGCGUCGUGUGAAAGCCCUCGGCUCAACCGAGGAAUUGCACGGCGAACCGCAUGUCUUGAGACAAGUAGGGGCGGUCGGAACGAUAGGUGGAGUGGUGAAAUGCGUUGAUAUCUAUCGGAACGCCAAUGGUGAAGACAGGCCGCUGGGCUUGUUCUGACGCUGAGGUACGAAAGCAUGGGUAGCGAACGGGAUUAGAUCCCCUGUAGUCC
rnacentral:rRNA from 1 species